rnacentral:rRNA from 1 species
UACGGAGGGGGCUAGCGUUGUUCGGAAUUACUGGGCGUAAAGCGCACGUAGGCGGCUUUGUAAGUUAGAGGUGAAAGCCCAGGGCUUGACCCUGGAAUUGCCUUUAAGACUGCAUCGCUAGAAUCGUGGAGAGGUGAGUGGAAUUCCGAGUGUAGAGGUGAAAUUCGUAGAUAUUCGGAAGAACACCAGUGGCGAAGGCGACUCACUGGACACGUAUUGACGCUGAGGUGCGAAAGCGUGGGGAGCAAACAGG